AGCACAAAUGCAAAUUUCCCAAUACAAAAACAUUCCAAAAGGCUGUUACAAUGAAAUGCUGACCUUGAUUACAGCAACAAUAUAAUAAAUAGUUUCCACAGUUGAUAACUGAGUAAUGACAAACUUGAUUCCCACAGAAUUAAACAAAAGAGUUUCCUAAUGGCUCUGGCUCAAGAAAUAUUAUUGCAACAGUAGAUGAGGCUCUUGGAAAUGUCAUUAUUGUCAUUGCCUUCAGUAUUAUUUCUAAUGGCUUCUUCAGAUUCAUGGACCAAGCAAUGGUUAUCCUUUCAAGUACCAUUCCAUUUUCUAGUACAAACUUUAUAAAUUCAAGUCCAUUAUCCUGACCUUCAAAGUUGC
rnacentral:misc_RNA from 1 species